GGUCAUCUCAGAUUUGAUAAGGUCAGAAAACAUGGGCUAACUUUUCCUUCCACAGCAUGUCACAAGGGCUAACUUUUCUCUCCACAGCAUAUGUCACAAGGGCUUACCUUUCCUUUACACAGUAUGUCACAAGGGCUAACUUUGCCUUCCACUCUCAGAUUUGGUAAGGUCAGAUAACAUCACAAGGGCUAACUUUCCUCUUCACAGCAUGUCACAAGGGCUAACCUUUCUUUUCACAGUAUGCCAUAUGGGCUAACUUUUCUCUCAACUGUCAGAUUUGGUGAGGUCAGGUAAUGAUCACAAGGGCUAACUUUUCUUUCCACAGCAGGUCACAAGAGCUAACUUUUCCCUUCUCUCUCAGAUUUGUUAAGAUCAGGUAACGUCGAAAGGGCUAACUUUUCUUUUUACUGUAUGUCAUAAAGGCUAACUUUUCCUUCCUUUCUCAAAUUUGGUGAAGUCAGGUAACAUCACAAGGGCUAACUUUUCCUUCCAAUCUCAGGUGAGGUCAAGUAUUGGCACAAGGGCUAGUUUCCUUCCACAGUGUGUCAUAAGGGCUAACUUUUCAUUUUGCUCUCAGAUUUGUUCAGGUCCAGCUAGAAGCGUCAAAGAGGGCUAACUUUUUAAGUUACGUCACAAAGGGCUAAUUUCCCUCCACAGCAUGUCAUAAGGGCUAACUUUUUCUUCCACCCUCAGAUUUGGUGAGGUCAGGUAACGACACAGGGCUAACUUUUCCUUCCACAGCAUGUCACAAGGGCUAACUUUUCCUUCCACAGUAUGUCAUAAGGGCUAACUUUUCCUUUUACUCUCAUAUUUCUUAAGGUCCAGUAACGUCAAAGAGGGCUAACUUUUCCUUUGACUCUCAGACUUGGUGAGGUCAGGUUAUGUCACAAGGGCCAGUUUUGCCCUCCACUCUCAGAUUUGGUGAGGUCAAGUAACGUCACAAGGGCAAAUUUCCUUCCACAGUAUGUCAUAAGGAUUCAAUUUAAGGGCUAACUUUUCAUUAUACUCUCAGAUUUGCUAAGGUCCAGAAACGUCAAAGAGGGCUAACUUUUCCUUCUACUCUCAGAUUUGUUGAGGUCAGGUAAUGGCGCAAGGGCUAACUUUUCUCUCCACAGCAUGUCAUAAUGGCUAUCUUUUCCUUUUCUCUGACAGAUUUUUUAAGGUCCAGUAACGUCAAAAAGGGCUAUUUUUUCUCUUCACAGCAUGUCACAAGGGCUAACUUUUCCUUCCACAGCAUGUCACAAUGGCUAAAUUUCCUUCCACUCUCAGAUUUGUUAAGGUCAGGUACUACGCUAACGUCACAAGGGCUAACUUUUCCUUUCACAGCAUGCUAACACCCCUUUUCUUCUAGAAUUUCUUUAUAGCUUUUAAGAUACAUGAAGAAGUGUCUUAAGCCAAAACAUCAAACAGAGGAGGCUGGAAAGUGGUUUCAAGAGGAGCGCACUACAUCAGGUAUAAUGAGUGCAGAAAGGUCAGAAGGACAGCUUGAGUUGCAGUGAUGUGCAUCUGCCAGUGAGUGUGUGCAGGUUCAAGAAUCAACAACUUCACAAAGAGGCCAUGUUCAAGUUUGACUGAUGCCCAGUUUUGUAGCAGUGAAUCAAGAUCUCGAAGAGGAUCCAGCUACAAAGUACUACAACUUCAAACACUGGUGAUCAUCGUUACCUGGACCAUAGUGGUGCGCUCUGUGCAAGAAAAUCAGAACCAUGUAAAAAUACAGUUGGGACGAAACCCAAGGAAACAGCAUUUGAUUUUUACUUUUCCAUAGGGCUUUCGUCGCAAAACAGCAUAAAUACAUCAAAUUUUUGGUACUAUAGAUUUUUGUAGCUAAAGUUAAUCAUACUUUUUGCAACCUCUAGAUCUGGAAUCUGGACUCUGAUAUAUGAACAGAAGUUAUUUCUUGCAUAAAAGUCAAGACCUGGAUGGUUUUUUUUUUCAUAUACUUCAACAAAAACAUUGCCCUUUAUAAACAAGAAUGGGUUGUUACAAAAGCACACAAAGAAGUACAUCAAGUGUCAUGGCUAGAUCAAGUUUAAAUUUAGAGCCAAAAUUUGUUUGGGUUUUAAAACUUUUAUGAAAAUCAGAGUAUUCUACUUGGAUUGAAAACACAAACUUACUUGGUAAAGAGUUAUGAAAAGCACUUAUACAACAUUGUUAAAAAGAACCCCUUGUGAUGUAGUUUUAGAGAAAGAGGUAAUUAUUCCUUCCAAAAACUUGAAUCUCAAGCAUCUUAAGGUACACAAUUCUAUGUAUUUUUUUGUAAAUUUGAUGCCAAAAAUUAACAGGUUUUUUAUUUUAUGCAUAAUUUGUUUGGAUACACUAAAAAUGAGGAUACUGGUCUUUGGCAUUUACCAAUGUAUACCCUGCAUUUAAAGGACGAUAAUACUUGUUCAUGCAACUCAAGAUGUACACUGACUGUACUUAUGUUUCAUCAUUGAUCACCUGCCCGGAAUGAAUACACCCAAAAUGGCACUUGUUAAUUGUGGUAGUUUGGAUGGAUACAAACCUCAAAUGUUCUUUAUGUGCCUUGUUGCUUUAAGCCAAAACCCAACAAAUUUUUAGGCUUACUUGGUUACCAUCCAAAACAGCAUGUCACACUCUGUGAAACUGGUGUCCGGCUUAUUUUUAAUAAAUUUUAAUAAGUAUAAUA